CACAGGUGUGACCUUCCCCACUCACAUCACAGGCAUAGGUGUGACCUUCCUCACUCACAUCACAGGCACAGGUGUGACCAUCCCCACUCACAUCACAGGCACAGGUGUGACCUUCUUCACUCACAUCACAGGCACAGGUGUGACCUUCUUCACUCACAUCACAGGCACAGGUGUGACCUUCCUCACUCACAUCACAGGCACAGGUGUGACCUUCCUCACUCACAUCACAGGCACAGGUGUGACCUUCCUCACUCACAUCACAGGCACAGGUGUGACCUUCCUCACUCACAUCACAGGCACAGGUGUGACCA